GGGGCGUUAGCUCAGUUGGUAGAGCAGUUGGCUUUUAACCAAUUGGUCAUAGGUUCAAAUCCUAUACGCCCCACCA
rnacentral:tRNA from 1 species